CUCCUUUCGGACUCAGCCCACCUGCACCCAGGUGAAAUAAGCAGCCUUGUUGCUCACACAAAACCUGUUUGGUGGUCUCUUCACAGCAACGCGAAUGAAAUUUGGUGCCAUCACUCGGAUCAGGGGACCUCCCUUGGGAGAUCAAUCCCCUGUCCUCCUGCUCUUUGCUCCAUGAGAAAGAUCCACCUACGAUCUCUGCUCCUCAGACCAACCAGCCCAAGGAACAUCUCACCAAUUUUAAAUCGGAUCUUCUCAGCUUAGCGGCUGAAGACUGAUGCUGCCAGAUGACUUUGGAAGCCCCCUGGACCAUCACAGAUGCCCAGCUUUGGAUAACUCUUACAGUGGAGGACAGGAAUAUCAGGUCUCUGAGCCCAAGCUAAGCCAUCAUAUCCCCUGUGACCUGCAUGUAUGCAUCCAGAUGGCCUGAAGUAACUGAAGAAUCACAAAAGAAGUGAAAAUGGCGCGUGCCUGCCUUAACUGAUGACAUUACCUUGUGAAAUUCCUUCUCCUGGCUCAUCCUGGCUCAAAAGCUCCCCCACUGAGCACCUUGUGACCCCCACUCCUGCCUAACAGAGAACAAUCCCCUUUGACUGUAAUUUCCCACUACCUACCCAAAUCCUAUAAAACGGCC
rnacentral:lncRNA from 10 species